rnacentral:rRNA from 1 species
UACGUAGGGUGCGAGCGUUAAUCGGAAUUACUGGGCGUAAAGCGUGCGCAGGCGGUUCGUCGUGUCCGAUGUGAAAGCCCCGGGCUCAACCUGGGAAUGGCAUUGGAAACUGGCGGACUCGAGUGUGGCAGAGGGGGGUGGAAUUCCGCGUGUAGCAGUGAAAUGCGUAGAGAUGCGGAGGAACACCGAUGGCGAAGGCACUCUGCUGGGCCGACACUGACACUGAGAGACGAAAGCUAGGGGAGCGAAUGGG